CUCCUCACCCCCGGCCGCUCACCACCACCACCACCACAAGCGGCAGAAGCAACAGCAGCAGCAGCGUGGCUCACGGGACAGAUCCUCCAAGUCGUCCUCGGCAUCGCGAUCUCCCAAAAAAACUACUUAGACACAGACACAGAUUGACACAGACACAGACAGACACGGAUACAUAGAUACUCAGACAGGACGCAGAGUUAUAACUCGCACACAUAGACACACAGAGUUAUAACUCGCACACAUAGACACACAGAGUUAUAACUCACACAGACACCCAGAGUUAUAACUCGCACACAUAGACACACAGAGUUAUAACUCA